rnacentral:rRNA from 1 species
GGAUGCAGUAACUCUGACUGUAAUAAAGUAGCAUAAUUAAUUGUCAUUUAAUUGAUGGAGAGAAUGAAUGGUUACACGAAUAUUUCACUGUCUUAAAAAAAAUUUUUUAAAAUUGAAAUAAUAGUUAAGAUGCUAUUUAAAAUUGUAAGACGAAGAGACCCUAUAGAGCUUUACUAUAAAUUUUCUUUCUUUUAAAAUAUAAAAACUAUUUAAUUUAGAAAAUUUGGUAGUUUAGUUGGGGCGACUGUUUUUUAAAAAUAACAAAAAUAAGCAAUAUAAUAAUAUUAUUUAUUGUAUAAUCAAACAAUUUAACAAUUACUAUAGUAGGCUAUAAUGACCCGUUAUUAUAUUAAAAAAUAAAUAACGAAUAAUUAAUAAAAGCUACCUUAGGGAUAACAGGA